GUUUCUGAAACAAAAAUGAUUAUGCUUAGUGAGUGGGGGUAGUAAAAAGGUGAGUCUGAUCCCACAGGUGAAACCCUAAGUCCAUGCUGACCGUGACUUGCUUCUUAUUCAGGAAGUUGAAAUUGAAAACAGCAAGACUGCACCAGAGUGAGAAGUGAAUAAAAAUCAAACAUGAACACUGGGAUCUGACUUGAAAAUAUAUAAUGAAUAUUAAAAUAUUAAUAUCCCACAGCAGAAAAAUAGCUGAAUUGCAGGUCAGCAUCCCACAAUCUAUUAUAUCCCCAUUGCAUACUUGCUUGUAUAUAAAAAUGUAUCAUGUUAAAUAAUUCAAAUGUGUAACUCUAUUUCUAUUUUAUUUCAUACUAUGUGGUAAGGUAUCAGAAAAUUAUCAGUUUACUUAGAAGGGUUCCACCAGUAUUUAAGAUUACUUGUAUUGAUAUCUGAAUAUAUCAAUACAUAUUUUUUAAAGCUUAUAAACAUAUAUUUUGCAGUCUGAUAAUAGAAGGCUGUCUUGACCUGUCAAAGUAAGGCUAACAAACACCAAAUGAACUGAAACACAUUAUAAUCUCCUAAUUUACCUCCGUGUCCCACUUGCAAUCUUUUCUGCAACAUUUAAUCCUUGAACCCAAUUAAGCAAACUCUAGAGGAAGAUUUCACUGAAUUGCAAAACUCAUGUCUCACCCAAGAACAUGAAAGAGCUGGUUAAGGAUUCAUAAAACACUCUGCUUCCUGACAGAAGAAGUCCCUUUGCUUACCUAGCAGAGAUAUGGACAACUGUAGUGUGCCACGAUCACAGAGUUCGGUGAGCGAAAAAUGGUAAAAAAAUGGAUUUUUGCUUGAUGCAAUAGAUCAUGCCCUUCCUCCCCUGAAACUAGUUUCUUAUUCUGCAAAAGUAUUUUAUCCACCUAACUAAACCCUGUUCAGAAGCUACAGCAGUACUGCAGAAACCAGCAGGUAGUAACAGGGGAUACACAGCCUCGGCAGCUGCUAGCAUUAAUUCACGCUAAUAAUACAACCUCAAAGAGCAUAUCGAACAAGAUACAGUACUGCCGCAGUCAUCAAUUUUUUAAGAGGGAAUUUCAAUGUGAAUUUUAAACCCCAAAUUAUUUAAAAAUUUACAAAUUAUUAUUUUUUAAAAUGAAGUAAAUCCAGAAGAGGUUACCCUGCCCUUCUGAUAAUCCUUAGGAGAAAAAUUCCUCGAUGAGCUCCGUCAGCCACAGUACCCAACCCUGGGACCUCAGGCUUCUUGCUAUGACAAACAAAAGCUUUCUUGGCUGUUCAGUUUUUGGCACUCUGAGCAUACAGCCAGAGGGUGAGGUCCUUGAAAUGCUUCUCUGCUUCCAAGAGUUGGUUUGUGGCCUCAACACAUUUUUAACAGCAAGUCAGCAUGAGCCUUGCAGUCUCCUGGAGCUCCCCGGAGGAGGUGCCCUCCUGCAGGCUGGAACUGAACCAUGAGACAAACCAUCAGUCUGGGCAAAUGCAAGGCCAGAACUGUGAGGGAUACUGCAGACCCCAUCUGUCCCAAAGGUAGGUGUAGCCCAAGUUUCCCCAUUGUCCAUGGGCUCUUAUUGUGUCUGUUCAAUGAGAACUUGGUUCCUGGAUGUCAUGUUCAAGGGCUUCCUUACAGACAUCAAACAAACUUUCCUUUCUGUGCAGUUGCCAUAUGAGAAUUGUUCUUGGAUGUCUUAAAAUAAGGCUUUAUGAAUUACUCCAAACAGAAGUAAGGAAGCGGCCUUACAUACUAAAGUCAAAUAAGACAGCAAAACCAGGAUUAUUUUAUAAGGCAAAAUGAGCAGAAGGAAGAGUUUGUUUAAUUUCAUUCUAAUCAAUAGGCUCUAAAGCACAAACAUGUAAACUCAAUUCUUUACAAGACUUUUAGAAAGCCUAAAACUUUUAGCAAAAAUCAAAAACCCACAAAUUUUGCUAAAAAGUGUUCUGGUAUGUCUACUAGGCCAAAUCAACUAGAAAUACAUUUUUGGCUAUGAAUAAGUAGUAGCUGUGUCACUGAGAAACUAUUUCCUCGCCAUAAUUUAUGUGCUGAUGCCAACAACUUUGACUUGAGAGGGGAGGAGACCUGAUGACAAAGCAUUGUUGGAUUCUUUCCUGUCUGGCCAGGAACUGGAUUGCUGACUUUGAGAAAACACUGGGUAUACUGAAGUGAAAUAGACGAUCUAAGGAAGAGUGUGGAAGAAGAAUUCAUUUUUGUGUAUAGGUGAAGAGCGAAUUACAAAGGUUUAUUAAUUUUCAAAGUUGUAAGUUGAAGUAGAUUUUUACAUCUAACAUAUCUGCUAUCUGGAAUGUACAGCAGACAUUUCAAAGAGUGUGUAAUGCCACCAGUUCCAUAAUUCAGAUGAUUUGUAAUGACGUGUUCAGCUAAAUUAAACUGUAUAAUCUGUAUUUUUAAAAAAUAAAAGAAAAUAUGAUUAAUCUAGAAAA